UACGAAGGGGGCUAGCGUUGCUCGGAAUCACUGGGCGUAAAGGGCGCGUAGGCGGCCACCGCAAGUCGACUGUGAAAUCUCCGGGCUUAACCCGGAAAGGUCAGCCGAUACUGCGGGGCUAGAGUGCAGAAGGGGCAACUGGAAUUCUCGGUGUAGCGGUGAAAUGCGUAGAUAUCGAGAGGAACACCUGCGGCGAAGGCGGGUUGCUGGGCUGACACUGACGCUGAUGCGCGAAAGCUAGGGGAGCGAACGGG
rnacentral:rRNA from 1 species